CCAGCCCUUUUCUUUUCUAAUCAGCUGCGAGUGGUUCGGCUGAACACCGUUCUUCUCUCCCCGAUCCCCCUCCCUCUAACGAUUGCGGAGGCCGCGGUAGCGGCGGCGACGGUGACGGUGCCGGAGGGACGACCCGGAUGCCAGGGCUACUCCCUGCCUCAUGCGUGGAGCAGUCCCCCUUUCUCUCUCAUGCGGUAGCGACCAGGAGGCGGAUUGUGCACUGCAACGAUGCGAUGCAAGCUCGGCGGCAACCACGACCUUCUUCGGCGUCCCUCUCCACCUCCGGCGGUUUGCUCACUGAUUGCAGCCGCCAAGGUUAAUCUUUACCUUCACUCAAGUGACUAAGAGAAGCUAGAAAAGAAAUUAUGAGAGAAGCCAGACAACCGAUUGAAGAAAGCGAAUGAAAACAAAAGAUAGAGAGAAGCGGCAUUUCUUCCCCAAAGGUUAAGUUUACCUUCUAGAUUCUUAUCAGUACGAUCCUCCUUCUCUUGUACAGUAUUAGUUAUUACUGAACACUUGUUAUUUUUGUUUCAGGAGAACACUUCAAGUCCAUCUGAUUCCUUCUUUUCGCGUGGAAGUCCAUCAGAUUUUGUCAUGCCUAUCAAUGGGGAUAGUGAGGUUGCUGAUACGGCCACGUCUUCACAGCUCUGCUGUUGUAGGUUGGUCAUCCCAUCAUUGUGAAUCUACUCUGUUGUACAAGGAAGGAAAUCAAAAAGGGUAAAACACAAUAAAAUGUGAAAAACAAGCUGCACACUGCGAGCGUCGAAGAACCACACCCCAAGAAGAAGCAUGAAUCAUCUCAGC